UACGGGAGGCAGCAGUGGGGAAUAUUGCACAAUGGGCGCAAGCCUGAUGCAGCCAUGCCGCGUGUAUGAAAAAGGCCUUCGGGUUGUAAAGUACUUUCAGUCGUGAGGAAGGUGUUAAGGUUAAUAACCUUAGCAAUUGACGUUAGCGACAGAAGAAGCACCGGCUAACUCCGUGCCAGCAGCCGUGGUAAUACGGAGGGUGCGAGCGUUAAUCGGAAUUACUGGGCGUAAAGGGCACGCAGGCGGUUAAUUAAGUUGGAUGUGAAAUCCCCGGGCUUAACCUGGGAAUGGCAUUCAAGACUGGUUAGCUAGAGUCUUGUAGAGGGGGUAGAAUUCCAUGUGUAGCGGUGAAAUGCGUAGAGAUGUGGAGGAAUACCGGUGGCGAAGGCGGGCCCCUGGACAAAGACUGACGCUCAUGUGCGAAAGCGUGGGGAGCAAACGAGGGAUUAGAUACC
rnacentral:rRNA from 1 species